GGUAAGGAAAUAAAACAGAAAGAAGUUAAGUGAAUUCCCCAAGGCUAUACAGAGAAGUGACUGGUGGAUAGGGAAUUUGAACACAUUCAUUUUAAAGCUACAAUCCUGUCAUGCUAUCUCUCCAGGCAAUGCGUGUCUCACUCUGGGGAGAAAAACAUUACGCAGAAGUCAUGGAAACUUGUCAAGCGAGGUUCAGCAGUUGCUAUCUGGCUACACCUUGGAACAUGGAUCAUCAUCUUGAAGCCAGGGAAGCUGAAUUCAGAAGGGAAGAACAGAGAAUGUCUGGCCUAUGUCUUAUCUUUCGUGAGAUACCCUUCUAAGUUCCCUUUCAAAGUCAAGAGUGAAAUCCAGUUCAUAUGUAAAAAUAUUGAGAUAGGCAAAUCAUUAUUGCCAUAUUUUUCCGUGCAUAAGACGCCCCCAUGUAUAAUUUUGGGGACUCCAAAUUAAGAAAACACCCCUCAGCACUACCCGUGUAUAAGACGAGCCCCUUGUGAUUGAUUGUGUGACUGCGGAAAUGAAUAAAAGUGCCCCAUCUAAACAUGA